CAGUGAGUGCGAUCCUUCGGUCAUCCCGAAGCUCGUCUACAGACUGUUUCAGCUUCAGAUCUGGAGUAUUAAUCCAAACGUUUAAAAUUAUAAUCAUGGACAUUGCGAAAUUUAAGAAAGAACAACAUGCAGGUUCUCUCCUGGAGUGGCCGCGAUCCCAGUUCCUGGCAGAGGAGGGCCGUGCUGUGGGACCUGACUGACGGAGAGGGGUCAGAGAGAGAGAGCCGCGGGGGGGGGUCUUACAUGAUGAACUGCUGGGAGCAGGGGGGCGAUGGCGCCGCCUCCGUGUCGCUGUUGAAGCGCUGGCUCUGGCUGAAGCUGGCGCAGCGCGGGGAGGGCAGGGGGCUGUCCCCGUCCGUGAUGUGGUGCAGGAGCCGGCUGGGCCCUGGAGACUGCGGGCCGUCCGUCCCCCCACCCUCCUGGGCCGGGGAGCGCUGGACAGGCCUGUUUUCUGCUGUGGGUGGGGGGUUGGGGUGGGGGAGGUUAUAUAACAGAAAUAUGAGUCAGACAGACAGACAGGCAGGCAGACAGACAUGCUGAAGGCAGGAGUUCACCAUCUAGGGUAUCCAUCUGAUGACUGUGCACUGUGCUCUCCAGACAGCAAAACAAUAAUGUUCUGAUGGGAAAUGAAACUUGUAACCCGACACCAAAAGUCACAGGGAGAUCAUGAUUAAAUGCAUAUUGGCAAGUCAUAUGCUUGCACAAAGUCAACUUUCUAAAAGGCCAAGUGCUAUAAGAUGUCCUGAAUUUUCCCCCCCUUUUCCACACAGUUUGGAAUGUUAAACAUAUGUGUAGUGACCGCCUUAGUGACCUCCUUUUUUUUGGAUUUGGCUUUGUACUACUCACUUUUAGAUUUGUAAUCAAAUGAUUCACACGUGGUUAAAGUGGACAUUCUCAGCUAUUAUUUAAGGGUAUUUUAUACAUUUUGGUUUCACCAUAUUAGGGCACAUUAUGUUUUGGUAUUAAUGGUAUGUAAAUUAAAGUAAUCAUGUUUAUU